rnacentral:lncRNA from 1 species
GCAGGGAAAAGGAAAAAAGUUUGAAAAGCAAAACAGACCUCACCUUUUUCAUAUUUUUGAGUUGAAGUGUUGCUGAAGUCCAAAGGCUUAUCUUGAACCUCUGGUCCAUUUCUCUUGAGCCACAGUCCAAUGCACUAGCUCUUAGUUGCUGCUGGAAAUACACUAAUUUUAAGGGAGAUUCAGAAAGAAUCCCAUGAGUAGCUUAACAUCCUACCUGGCAAUGAGCUAGAACCAAAGACCAUCUACAGAGGCCCUCAAACAGGACUUUAUAACUUGCCAGGGUAUGGAUUCCCUGUAUACUGUCCAGCCACACUGGUAUCAUCAAGUUAUGAAGAGGAUAAUUCCAGGAGAAGAGGAUCCAGAAGUACUGGAGUAUUGAAAAUCUAUGAUAAG